UCCGAUAUGCUAACCCCCGACGGUCUUAAGUAUUUAAACCCCCGCCAACCGUGAGGCCAUUGAACUGAAACUUAGUCAGAAGAGAAACCGAAUCCACGUUACGGUAAAAUCGUAAAAUGUGAGGACACCAGUGCGAAGCGGCUUCUGUCUGUAACUGACCUGAGCCCGAAACGGUGGGAGCAAACAGAUUAGAUACCCUGGUAGUCCACGCCGUAACGAUGAGUCCUAAGUGUUAGGGGGUUCCGCCCCUUAGUGCUGCAGUAACGCAUUAAGCACUCCCCCUGGGGAGUACGACCGCAAGGUUGAAACUCAAAGGAAUUGACGGGGGCCCGCACAAGCGGUGGAGCAUGUGGUUUAAUUCGAAGCAACGCGAAGAACCUUACCAGGUCUUGACAUCCCACUGACCGGCUUAGAGAUAGGCUUUUUCCUUCGGGGACAGUGGUGACAGGUGGUGCAUGGUUGUCGUCAGCUCGUGUCGUGAGAUGUUGGGUUAAGUCCCGCAACGAGCGCAACCCUUGAUCUUAGUUGCCAGCAUUCAGUUGGGCACUCUAAGGUGACUGCCGGUGAUAAACCGGAGGAAGGUGGGGAUGACGUCAAAUCAUCAUGCCCCUUAUGACCUGGGCUACACACGUGCUACAAUGGACGAUGCAAAGGGCUGCAAACCCGCGAGGGGGAGCCAAUCCCAUAAAAUCGUUCUCAGUUCGGAUUGUAGGCUGCAACUCGCCUACAUGAAGCCGGAAUCGCUAGUAAUCGUGGAUCAGCAUGCCACGGUGAAUACGUUCCCGGGCCUUGUACACACCGCCCGUCACACCACGAGAGUUUGUAACACCCGAAGUCGGUGAGGUAACCUUUACAGGAGCCAGCCGCCGAAGGUGGGACAGAUGAUUGGGGUGAAGUCGUAACAAGGUAA
rnacentral:rRNA from 1 species